GAUGAACGCUGGCGGCGUGCCUAAUACAUGCAAGUCGAGCGAACAGACGAGGAGCUUGCUCCUCUGACGUUAGCGGCGGACGGGUGAGUAACACGUGGAUAACCUACCUAUAAGACUGGGAUAACUUCGGGAAACCGGAGCUAAUACCGGAUAAUAUAUUGAACCGCAUGGUUCAAUAGUGAAAGACGGUUUUGCUGUCACUUAUAGAUGGAUCCGCGCCGCAUUAGCUAGUUGGUAAGGUAACGGCUUACCAAGGCGACGAUGCGUAGCCGACCUGAGAGGGUGAUCGGCCACACUGGAACUGAGACGCGGUCCAGACUCCUACGGGACGCAGCAGUAGGGAAUCUUCCGCAAUGGGCGAAAGCCUGACGGAGCAACGCCGCGUGAGUGAUGAAGGUCUUCGGAUCGUAAAACUCUGUUAUUAGGGAAGAACAAAUGUGUAAGUAACUAUGCACGUCUUGACGGUACCUAAUCAGAAAGCCACGGCUAACUACGUG
rnacentral:rRNA from 1 species